GCCGCCCUCCCCUCCUCCGCUCCCUCUCUCUCGCCUUUUAAUCAUGCCCCUCUGUCUGUGUGUGAGUGCAGGCAGGCUGACAAUGAUUUCCUCAGUGAUUACGUACAGAGCGAGUCCCUGCGGGUUAGGGGCCCCCUCUGGAGCCAUCCUGAUGGCUUUGGGGGCCUUGCUUCCAUUUUCCAUUAUUAUGUGGACUACCGGAGCGACAGCGCAGUCCAAGACCUUGCAGCUGUUUGCUUUUAGGAUGUCUCGCCGCAAGCAAGCUAAACCAAGAUCACUCAAAGAAACUCAGAUUCUAGAAACAACCAGUUGUAUGAAGCCUUGGGGUUGGCGGAGGAGGAAAAGAGUAGAAGAAAAUGAAACAGAGGACCAUCAGGCAGGUGUGGGACACACAGCCGCACAGACUGACCCUAACUGUAAACUAGAAGACAAGGCAGAAGAUGGAGAUGUGCUAGACUGUAAGAAAAGGCCGGAUGAAGGGGAGGAGUUAGAAGAAGAAGCUGUGCACAGCUGUGACAGCUGCCUCCAGGUGUUUGAGUCACUGAGCGAUAUCACAGAACACAAGAUUAAUCAAUGUCAACUGACAGGUGAGCAGUACUCAUGGAAGUCCUGUGUUCCAGAAUGGAGUGGCUCUUCUUUGUCACCCCUUUGUUUCAGAGACGGAGUGGAUGUUGAGGAUGACCCCUCUUGCUCAUGGCCAGCAUCAUCGCCUUCUAGCAAGGAUCAGACUUCCCCGAGCCAUGGAGAAGGCUGUGAUUUUGGAGAAGAGGAAGGAGGCCCAGGUUUACCCUAUCCGUGCCAGUUCUGUGACAAGUCGUUCAGCCGCCUCAGCUACUUAAAGCACCACGAGCAGAGUCACAGUGACAAGCUCCCUUUCAAAUGCACGUAUUGCAGCCGCCUCUUCAAACACAAACGGAGCAGGGACCGCCACAUAAAGCUUCAUACGGGGGACAAGAAGUAUCACUGCAGUGAGUGUGAUGCGGCCUUCUCAAGGAGCGAUCAUCUUAAAAUUCACUUAAAGACUCAUACGUCCAACAAGCCAUAUAAGUGUGCCAUUUGUAGACGUGGGUUCCUGUCAUCUAGUUCACUGCAUGGACACAUGCAGGUCCACGAGAGGAACAAAGAUGGCUCCCAGUCCGCUUCCCGGAUGGAGGACUGGAAAAUGAAAGACACUCAGAAAUGCAGCCAGUGCGAAGAAGGCUUUGAUUUUCCUGAAGAUCUUCAGAAGCACAUUGCAGAAUGUCACCCUGAGUGUUCCCCUAAUGAAGACCGAUCUGCUCUUCAGUGUGUUUACUGUCAUGAACUCUUUGUAGAGGAAACGUCCCUAGUAAAUCACAUGGAGCAGGCUCAUAAUGGUGAGAAGAAGAAUUCAUGCAGCAUUUGCUCUGAGAACUUUCACACUGUGGAGGAGCUGUACAGUCACAUGGACAGUCACCAGCAGCCAGAGUCGUGCAACCACAGCAACAGCCCGUCUUUGGUAACUGUGGGGUACACAUCAGUCUCUAGCACCACCCCAGAUUCAAAUCUCUCAGUGGAUAGCUCAACCAUGGUGGAAACGGCUCCUCCUAUACCAAAAGGUCGCGGAAGGAAGCGGGCAGCUCAGCAAGUGCCAGAUAUCACUGGUCCUUCAAGUAAGCAGGCAAAAGUUACUUAUAGCUGCAUUUAUUGCAACAAACAGUUGUUUUCCAGCCUUGCAGUUUUGCAGAUACACCUGAAAACUAUGCAUUUAGAUAAACCCGAACAAGCCCAUAUCUGUCAGUAUUGUUUGGAGGUAUUGCCAUCUCUCUACAAUCUGAAUGAGCAUCUUAAGCAAGUCCAUGAAGCUCCAGACCCAGCACUGAUUGUUUCUACCAUGCCUGCCAUGGUCUACCAGUGCAACUUCUGCUCUGAAGUGUUCAAUGACCUCAACACCCUUCAGGAACACAUCCGAUGUUCUCAUGGAUUUGCCAACCCUGCUGCUAAGGACAGUAAUGCAUUCUUUUGUCCCCAUUGCUACAUGGGAUUUCUUACAGAUUCUUCCCUGGAAGAGCAUAUUAGACAAGUCCAUUGUGAUCUUAGCAGUUCCCGUUUUGGUUCUCCUGUGCUCGGAACCCCAAAAGAUCCAGUGGUGGAAGUGUAUUCUUGUUCUUACUGUACCAAUUCUCCAAUAUUUAAUAGUGUUCUUAAACUGAACAAGCAUAUCAAGGAGAACCAUAAGAACAUUCCUUUGGCGCUGAAUUACAUCCACAAUGGGAAAAAGUCCAGAGCCAUGAGUCCAUUAUCUCCUGUAGCCAUUGAGCAGACCUCUUUAAAGAUGAUGCAGGCAGUUGGAGGUGCUCCUCCUCGUCCUGCUGGGGAAUAUAUUUGUAAUCAGUGUGGUGCUAAGUACACUUCCUUGGAUGGUUUUCAGACUCAUUUGAAAACACAUCUUGACACUGUCCUGCCAAAACUGACCUGCCCUCAGUGCAACAAGGAAUUUCCAAAUCAGGAGUCACUGCUGAAGCAUGUUACCAUUCAUUUCAUGAUCACCUCAACCUACUACAUCUGUGAAAGCUGUGACAAGCAGUUUACUUCUGUGGAUGACUUGCAGAAACACCUACUAGACAUGCAUACAUUCGUGUUCUUCCGCUGCACCUUGUGCCAAGAGGUUUUUGACUCCAAAGUCUCCAUUCAGCUGCACUUGGCUGUGAAGCACAGCAAUGAGAAGAAGGUGUACAGAUGUACAUCUUGCAACUGGGAUUUCCGCAACGAGACUGACCUACAGCUUCAUGUGAAACACAACCACCUGGAGAACCAAGGCAAAAUACACAAGUGCAUCUUCUGCGGUGAAUCCUUUGGUACAGAGGUGGAGCUGCAGUGUCACAUCACUACGCACAGCAAGAAGUACAACUGCAAGUUCUGCAGCAAGGCUUUCCAUGCUAUCAUCUUGCUGGAAAAGCACUUGAGGGAAAAACAUUGUGUUUUUGAAACGAAAACUCCAAACUGUGGAACGAAUGGGGCAUCUGAGCAAGUUCAGAAAGAGGAAGUGGAACUCCAGACCUUGUUGACAAAUAGCCAGGAGUCCCAUAACAGCCACGAUGGCAGUGAAGAAGAUGUGGACACAUCUGAGCCUAUGUAUGGCUGUGACAUUUGUGGUGCGGCUUACACCAUGGAGACUCUCCUGCAAAAUCACCAGCUGCGAGACCACAACAUUCGACCUGGAGAAAGUGCCAUAGUGAAGAAAAAGGCUGAGCUCAUUAAAGGGAAUUACAAGUGUAAUGUGUGUUCUCGAACAUUCUUCUCUGAAAAUGGGCUUCGAGAGCACAUGCAGACACACUUGGGACCAGUGAAACACUAUAUGUGCCCAAUCUGUGGCGAGCGGUUUCCGUCUCUUCUGACUCUUACUGAACAUAAGGUCACACAUAGUAAGAGCCUGGACACUGGAAACUGCAGGAUUUGCAAGAUGCCCCUCCAGAGUGAGGAGGAAUUUUUAGAGCAUUGCCAAAUGCACCCUGACCUGAGGAACUCCUUGACGGGGUUCCGCUGUGUGGUGUGCAUGCAGACAGUGACCUCCACGCUGGAACUGAAAAUCCAUGGCACGUUCCAUAUGCAGAAAACUGGAAAUGGUUCUGCUGUGCAGUCCACGGGACGUGCACAGCAUCUCCAGAAACUGUACAAGUGUGCGUCUUGCCUGAAGGAAUUCCGUUCGAAACAGGAUUUAGUGAAACUUGACAUCAACGGUCUGCCGUAUGGUCUGUGUGCUAGCUGUGUUAAUCUCAGUAAAAGUGGUAGUCCGAGUGUCAACAUCCCUUCAAGCAGUAACAGACAAGGCAUGGGCCAAAAUGAGAACUUGAGUUCCAUUGAGAACAAAAGCAAGGCAGGGGGACUGAAGACUCGCUGUUCUAGUUGCAAUGUAAAGUUUGAAUCAGAAACUGAACUCCAAAACCAUAUUCAGUCAAUCCACAGAGAGCUUGUUCCAGACAGCAACAGUACACAGCUGAAAACACCACAAGUAUCUCCAAUGCCUAGAAUCAGCCCCUCCCAAACUGAAGAGGAGAGAAGGAGCAGCGUGAGCACACGGCCAAAUUACUUCAGGAGUGAAGAUGCUUUUUUAGGUGUGGAAAAAGAUUUGCAGAAACUCACUAUUUCAGAGAGUAUCAAAAAUGCUGGACAAAGGAGAGAGCUUGCAACUGUCACACCAGCUGGAGAGCAGAAUCUGGGGCUGCUCUUCUGUCCUGUAGUGGCUGUGCAGAGCUGUAUGCCAGGAUGGGCAUGUCACAGCAGGGGACACCAGGCACAUCACAGCACUGUUCUGGAAGGAGCCGUGAAAGUGCAGUCUGACAAUGAGCUUGCAGAGAUGGGGGUCACAAAAUUCAGAUGCUGUGGAGAGCUGUUGGCUCCUUGAAAUUCAACUUCUCCAACUUAAGAUGACUCCAGAAACGGUAUCACCCUGGGAGAAAGAAUGGAGCUCAGAGGCUUCAGAUGGGGCAUUUGGAGAGGCACCUUCUUCACACCCGUGGAAAACUUUGCAGGAGAGGAUGAAAGAAUGACAUGUUCUCCAAAAUUUUCAAGAGCACUAAACCGAGAUUUCCUUAAAAUGAACCAGGGUCAGGGGGUUGAAUGUGUGCUUGAAGAAACACAGAAGAACCGGAGAGGGACACAGGAAUGUGGACAAAGUCCUUAAGGAUCUCUAGAGAGGGCAAAUGUAGAUCCAGCAAAACUUUAUGAGAUAAAACAUCCAUGAGGUGUAUGCUCCCACAGCUCAGCUGUGCAGCCCACUGUCCUCUUGGGGCUUUCCCUGUACUUGUAUCUGCUGGCCAACUGGCUGGUGUGGAAUGCCACAAUUUCUGCACAGCCCCACAGGAAAAUCACAGUAGUGAUGAGUAUUUGUAUUCUGAUGUCAGAAUUGGGUAGAAACUAGAAGAAAUUUCACACAAUUUUCUAGCCUGAUCAUCUUUAGGAACAAGACACAAAAUCAUUACAUAUCUCUAUUUGUCUGCUGGUUUGAAGACCUCUAGAGGAUUCUCUCACUUCUACCUCUUUUUUUUGGACUAGUCUUGCCCAAUUUCAGGGAAAAAAUUCAGAGAUUAAUAGUAAUCUUAAAACCUAUGAAGUUGUUCCAAUAUUUGGGAAGAAAGGUGGCCCAGCAGGUAACAGAAUCCAAACAGAAGAGAGGCCUUUAAGAGAUCCAAACCAGGAAGAUGACUGUAGCUGAAGUUUAUCCCUGUUUUAUAUGCAAAAGUCAAGUGAAAACAAGACAUGAAGCUAUAGGAGGAAACUAUGAUCUGUUCUUUGGAGACUCACAGGCCAGCUUCUUAAAUGACUGUACAUGAGAACUGUUCUUCGCCACUACUCAAUAAAAGUUGUUAUAUGUGA